GUGGGGAAUCUUGCGCAAUGGGCGAAAGCCUGACGCAGCCAUGCCGCGUGAAUGAUGAAGGUCUUAGGAUUGUAAAAUUCUUUCACCGGGGACGAUAAUGACGGUACCCGGAGAAGAAGCCCCGGCUAACUUCGUGCCAGCAGCCGCGGUAAUACGAAGGGGGCUAGCGUUGCUCGGAAUUACUGGGCGUAAAGGGCGCGUAGGCGGACAGUUUAGUAAGAGGUGAAAGACCAGGGCUCAACCUUGGAAUUGCCUUUGAUACUGGCUGUCUUGAGUACGGGAGAGGUGAGUGGAACUCCGAGUGUAGAGGUGAAAUUCGUAGAUAUUCGGAAGAACACCAGUGGCGAAGGCGACUCACUGGCCCGUUACUGACGCUGAGGCGCGAAAGCGUGGGGAGCAAACAGGAUUAGAAACCCGAGUAGUCC
rnacentral:rRNA from 1 species